GCCGCCGCCACACGUUGCCUUUGCUUGUCCCUGUCCUCCGCCGCCACGCCUCUUGUUUCCUCAUCCCCGUCCUCCACCUCCACCUCUGCCGCCACGCCUCUCGUAUCCUCAUCCCUGUCCUCUGCCUCCACCUCCCGGCCUCCACUUCCCCGCCACCAAUCGAUGAUGGCGGCCCGAGAUCCAUGGUGGCGGCGGUUGCAGCGACCCCAUGGGAGUGGCGGCCAACACUAGUCGCCGCAGCGCACCUCUUUUGCUCACAACGAACGGCCUGGGCCAUGGAUCUCACCAUGGGCCUCCCUCCUCCGUCUCCUAGGCCCCCCAGCUGCCUCUCCAUCUGAAAAUUUGGAGCAGCAAGGGUCGGACUAGCAGAGGAUGACGACCUUGACCUGCCGGAGUCUCGAGCUUGACGAUGCCCCGCACAAGAUGAACAGGAGCUCUCUGCCUCUCCAGUUCCAUGGACAGUGAUGACUGGGACCCCACUCUCAAGCCCGACGAGCUGGGCGAGCUCGACGCCAAGGUCGUCCGCCCUGCCCACCAUGAUUCCCCACAGAGCAAGAAGAAAACGUGGCCACUUCCUUUCCUGAUACUCGCAUAUUACUGCCAGGGAUAUAUUAGCACUGCUGGCUAUUUUAUUUUUCUUCUCUCACCGUACGAGUCUAGCGGUGUAAAAUUUGUGAGGUAUGCUAGUUAAUUAAGCAACUACUAGUUUAUAAGUAAAUGCCCAUGAGAUGCUCAUGUUUGUUCUGUUUUUCUUGUUUAUGGAGGGAAAAUAACUCAUCUAUCUCACUGAAUCCAUUAACCAAGAGUAGAUUGUUUGUUAACUAGGCCUGCUGUUAGACUGCUUCUCUGUUAUAUAUUAUGUGCAAACUGUCUAUGUGUUAUGUGGUGAAAAUAGCCAUCAUAUCGAUUUCCACACAAUCAAGUUUAUAGAUUUAUGCCACAUGAAUUUUCAUGCUAUUGUACCAAGAUGAUUGUGGAAUGCUUGGUUGAUCACAUUUGUUAUCUGCAAAUAUACGUGUUGUAUUUUUGUAUAUUUUGUUAUGAAAGACAUGUCCAUUUGGAAGAAAAACACUACUUGGAGAAAAAGGGGAAGCCAAAAUAGCUGACGACUAUGUAUUCUGGGGUGUGUCUGGUUUUGAGCCAAAGCUAGCCUUACUGCUAGUAUCCCCAUGUUUUAUACUUGGUUGUUACAUGUGCCAGAAAAUUAAUUAGCUAGCUCAUAUGCUUAUACCAACAUGGGUCGUAUCUAUCAGCCAGCUAGUACAUGUGUGUUCCACUAGGAAAACAUGUGCGCAUGCUGCUUCAUUGAACCUUUUUCUGCCCUUUUUCUGUUUGGUCAUGAUGAUUUAUUGGCUCCUUAUAUCAACUUUUCAAGUUAGGACCUCAAAUGCUCAUUUGCUAAAGAGAAAUAAAAAAACCUCAGAUACAGAUAUGUGGCAUGUUAAUUGGCUAAAAACCAAACUGAGACCCAACCAUUUUGCCCAAAAAUUGAUAGAUGCUAUGGCUAUAAUCCAAAACAACACUAGCACACCAAAUUUUUUCCCUUACUUUGGCAAUGCCAAAAUUUUGGCAGGGCAAGUUGGGGCACAAACCAAAUAGCCCCCUGAUUUCUCGGUUAUUGUUAACAUCAAAAUCUGGUACAAGUCACUCUUGAUUGUUCUUGGGUUAAUGCCAAGCUGCUUAUACAAAUCGUUGAUAUUAAUUUUUACAUGCAUAACUAGAAGUAGCUGAUGCCCUUUUACUUUAUCAGCUUAUAUAAUUGAUGCAUACAAGUAGCUCCUGAUCUUUGCUCAAUUUAAUAUAUAUCACAAUGAUGAAUUUCUUGUUCUCAGUACAUGUCACCAUGUUCAGGAUGUUACGUACUAAAUGCCUCUAUCUAGACAAGUUGUAAACAUAAACUUUUCCCACCCUUUACUCUGUUUUAUUUAUUUAUAAUAGAAACUGGUGCAGAGUUAAAUAUGUGUAGUGCUUGAAGACUUUUCAUCUUAAUUAUAUAUGGUGCCCAACAUUUUGUAAUCCUAUAAACCUGACAAAAGCUAACUCUAACUAUACCAGGUAUAUGGUCUUCUUUGUAGCUUUUACCUUUCAGUGAUUGUUGGUGCAUUGACUGUAAGAUAAAAUUGUUCAUUUUCAUUUGUUUGUUAGAUAAUGAACAUAGGAAACGGAAUAUCUUGAGUGUAGGCAUCAUUAGUAGGGGUUAUGUUUGCACUUAAGGUACGAAAUGAUUAUACCAAAUUUUGAUGACAGGUUUAUAUGGCCUCAACUACUGCUGCUAUAGUAAUUAGUUAUGUGAUGUGUUUUGUUACUUUGCCAUUUGACAUACAUUUGACACAUUUUUCUUUGGAUUUGGAGAAGAACCCGCCUUGCAAUGCCGAAGACAAUUUAUGCGCCGGACUCAUUGUUAUUGAAGCCUCGUUCGGGGGCUACUGAGGG